rnacentral:rRNA from 1 species
GACGAACGCUGGCGGCGUGCUUAACACAUGCAAGUCGAACGGAAAGGCCCUGCUUUUGUGGGGUGCUCGAGUGGCGAACGGGUGAGUAACACGUGAGUAACCUGCCCUUGACUUUGGGAUAACUUCAGGAAACUGGGGCUAAUACCGGAUAGGAGCUCCUGCUGCAUGGUGGGGGUUGGAAAGUUUCGGCGGUUGGGGAUGGACUCGCGGCUUAUCAGCUUGUUGGUGGGGUAGUGGCUUACCAAGGCUUUGACGGGUAGCCGGCCUGAGAGGGUGACCGGCGACAUUGGGACUGAGAGACGGCCCAGACUCCUACGGGAGGCAGAAGUGGGGAAUAUUGCACAGUGGGCGGAAGCCUGAUGCAGCAACGCCGCGUGCGGGAUGACGGCCUUCGGGUUGUAAACCGCUUUCGCCUGUGACGAAGCGUGAGUGACGGUAAUGGGUAAAGAAGCACCGGCUAACUACGUG